rnacentral:rRNA from 1 species
GAUGAACGCUGGCGGCGUGCCUAAUACAUGCAAGUCGAGCGAAUGGAUUAAGAGCUUGCUCUUAUGAAGUUAGCGGCGGACGGGUGAGUAACACGUGGGUAACCUGCCCAUAAGACUGGGAUAACUCCGGGAAACCGGGGCUAAUACCGGAUAACAUUUUGAACCGCAUGGUUCGAAAUUGAAAGGCGGCUUCGGCUGUCACUUAUGGAUGGACCCGCGUCGCAUUAGCUAGUUGGUGAGGUAACGGCUCACCAAGGCAACGAUGCGUGGCCGACCGGGGAGGGUGAGCUGCCACACUGGGGCUGAGACACGGCCCAGACUCCUACGGGAGGCAGCAGUAGGGAAUCUGCCGCAAUGGACGAAAGUCUGACGGAGCAACGCCGCGUGAGUGAUGAAGGCUUUCGGGUCGUAAAACUCUGUUGUUAGGGAAGAACAAGUGCUAGUUGAAUAAGCUGGCACCUUGACGGUACCUAACCAGAAAGCCACGGCUAACUACGUGCCAGCAGCCGCAGUAA